CUUGUACUCCCUCCGUCCGAAAAUACUUGUCAUUGAAAUGGAUGUAUCUAGAUGUAUUUUAGUUCUAGACACAUCCAUUUUGAUGAAAAGUAAUUCCGGACGGAGGGAGUACUUG
rfam:Triticum urartu cultivar G1812 contig317406, whole genome shotgun sequence.